GAGUUUGAUCCUGGCUCAGGAUGAACGCUGGCGGCGUGCCUAAUACAUGCAAGUCGAACGAAACUUCUUUAUCACCGAGUGCUUGCACUCACCGAUAAAGAGUUGAGUGGCGAACGGGUGAGUAACACGUGGGCAACCUGCCCAAAAGAGGGGGAUAACACUUGGAAACAGGUGCUAAUACCGCAUAACCAUAGUUACCGCAUGGUAACUAUGUAAAAGGUGGCUAUGCUACCGCUUUUGGAUGGGCCCGCGACGCAUUAGCUAGUUGGUGGGGUAAAGGCUUACCAAGGCAAUGAUGCGUAGCCGAACUGAGAGGUUGAUCGGCCACAUUGGGACUGAGACACGGCCCAAACUCCUACGGGAGGCAGCAGUAGGGAAUCUUCCACAAUGGGCGAAAGCCUGAUGGAGCAACGCCGCGUGGGUGAAGAAGGUCUUCGGAUCGUAAAACCCUGUUGUUAGAGAAGAAAGUGCGUGAGAGUAACUGUUCACGUUUCGACGGUAUCUAACCAGAAAGCCACGGCUAACUACGUGCCAGCAGCCGCGGUAAUACGUAGGUGGCAAGCGUUAUCCGGAUUUA
rnacentral:rRNA from 1 species